GACGAACGCUGGCGGCGUGCUUAACACAUGCAAGUCGAACGGAAAGACCCUGCUUUUGUGGGUUUCUCGAUCGCCGAACGCGUGAGUAACACGUGAGUAACCUGCCCUUGUCUUUGGGAUAACUUCAGGAAACUGGGGCUAAUACCGGAUAGGAUCUCCUGCUGCAUGUUGUGGGUUGGAGAGUUUCGGCGGUUGGGGAUGGACUCGCGGCUUAUCCGCUUGUUUGUGGGGUAGUGGCUUACCAAGGCUUUGACGGGUAGCCGGCCUGAGAGGGUGAACGGCCACAUUGGGACUGAGAUACGGACCAGACUCCUACGGGAGGCAGCAGUGGGGAAUAUUGCACAAUGGGCGGAAGCCUGAUGCAGAAACGCCGCGUGCGGGAUGACGGCUUUCGGGUUGUAAACCGCUUUCGCCUGUGACGAAGAGUGAGUGACGGUAAUGGGUAAAGAAGCACCGGCUAACUACGUG
rnacentral:rRNA from 1 species